rnacentral:rRNA from 1 species
UACGUAGGUGGCAAGCGUUAUCCGGAAUUAUUGGGCGUAAAGCGCGCGUAGGCGGUUUUUUAAGUCUGAUGUGAAAGCCCACGGCUCAACCGUGGAGGGUCAUUGGAAACUGGAAAACUUGAGUGCAGAAGAGGAAAGUGGAAUUCCAUGUGUAGCGGUGAAAUGCGCAGAGAUAUGGAGGAACACCAGUGGCGAAGGCGACUUUCUGGUCUG